UCGGAAUUAGUGUCGAUUUUAGGUGUCACAGAAAUCAAUAAUAUCGAUUUUGCUAUCGGAAACAAACCAAGCAGCUAACAGCUCUUGGAUUUCAUUUGUUUAUUAGUUUUUCUUACUUCCAGUUAGACAUUUUAUAAAAAUGGGAAAGCAUAAAAAUGCAACUCAAAACAGCAUUAUCGUGGAAUUUAUGGAGAAAUAUCCAGAUAUUGCGAGAGGCUUUACAAAGCGGGAUAAACCAACUGUUGAUGCCCUUUGGCAACAGUUUAGUUGAGUCGCUGAACAGUGCAGGUCCACCACAAAAGGAUACCAAUGGAUGGAAAAAAACGUGGACGGAGUAGAAAAGUGACAUAAAAAGAAAGCUCGCACAAAACAAAAGCGAGUCUCGAGCAACUGGUGGAGGACCCUUUUCUAAGCACCAACUAACGCAAACGGAAGAGACAAUAGUGCGACAGAUAAACUGGGAAGCGUUUGAAACAAUUUCUCGAUGAAGACAAUGAGAGAAAGCUCGAAAUAAAUGAAAAAUUGAACGAGCUAAUUAAGAUUGAAAAAGAAAACGACAGUAGCCUCAGACGAGUGUAUAGAGCCAUAAAAAAAAGCAACGAAUCUGUCGCGAUUGCAGUAAUUGAGCUCAAGGAUGAAUUUGUCCGUAUUAAUACAGGUGUUUUGCGAGCGAUACAGGAAAAAAACGAAAUAAAAGAAAAGCAACUCGAGCUCGAACUCCUAAAGUUUGAUUACGAAAAACAGAAAGAAAAGUAAU